rnacentral:lncRNA from 10 species
GCUUCACCAGCCCUGUGGAACUGAGGGAAGUGUUUUUCUCAAAAACACAUUGUAGUGUUCUGUGGAAGGCAGCAAGAAAUGAAGCUGAAAUGGAAGGCAGAAUAUAGACUGUGAACAGUCCUGAAAUCUUAACCAACACAGGGACUACGUCCUGAGAUUUUUGAAGACCUCUAAAGAUCUUCAAAGGACCUUGAAACUACCAUUACUUCAUGCAGCCUUCUCUUUUAAAAACAUGUAUAUUUUAUAAGUUCAAAAUGUAAUUCUGCUCAUUGAUUUACAUAUGCUGCAAGGUCCCUCUAGGAUUUGCCAUUAGUGAGAUUUUAACAUGUGUCUCUACAAAUUUAAAGAAAUGAGAUGGAAAGGACAUAUUCAUAUUACAAUCAGGCAAAGAGUCUAAUCCAAGACUAUUAAUGCUGAGGCUUCACUAAAAUCCAAGUGGCAGGACAACUGGAAAGUACAAGUUCUCUUAGUGGAAGCCUACCAACAAUCAAUAUAUUUAAUGAUAUUCCAUGAGCUAGGAUCAUUUUCCCUAGCAAUAAAAAUGAUUAUGCAUGAUAUAAAAUUACAAACAGGAGCAAAUAUAUUUGAAAAAACAAACACACCAGAAAGCAAAAAUUGUCAGUUUAAGAAUUGAUUCCCAUAUUCCAGUGCUAAUGUGGAUCAGGAAAAAGAAAACUUGAAUACUUCAUGUGAGAAAAAUUUGGGGUAAAUUCUAUGAAUUCAGCACAGCUACAUUUGUUCACAAGACUAUGUAACCAAUAUAUGUUCCUAAUACAAGUAAUGAUGUAGCUUUAUUUGGAUUUAUGAUAGCCUAUAUCAUAAAAUACCAAAAUAGUAAUCAGCCUCCACUAAAUAAUGUUUAAACUUCUCUCUAAUGAAUAGAGAGAAAUGUGUCCACCAAUAUCUGGUAUGUUUGCCUUAAUUUUCCUAUGUCUCCCAAAGUUGCCAAGCAAAUAGAUUUUCUUGAAUUCUGCCUGCCUCCUUCCUCUUCAAUAUUCAAUCCCCUUUGUUAUUAACAGAAAGCAAAAUUGGCUCUUUUUCUCAACCUUUCCAUUAAUAUUUGAAACUUAUUUAUAUGUUAGGUAAUUUUUGUUAGCACAAAAUCAGUAGAAGACAUCAAAGUUUAAGAAAAAACAAUUAGGGUGAAGACACAAAUUGAGAAAUUUAUACAAGGAGACUUCAAAAAGUUUGUAAAAAUGUAUAUUAUGAAAAAAAAUUACGCAUAGAUUUCCUUUUUUUUUUUUUUUUUUUUUUUUACCAAAUGGACUUCUACCAUCUUCUUAUAACAUGUUUGAAUAGAAUCUACUUUCAUGCACCAAGAAGGAUAAAAUACUAGUUUGAAAAAAUUCCCCUAUCAGAGCAACAUGAAUUCUGCAAAAAUUACAUGAAGAACAAACAUCAAACUUAUGGUGAGGUUUGGGUGGAAGAAUGGUGAAAUUCAUUGAUGCUUUACAAAAAGUGUAUGGGAACAACGCACCCAAACAAUCAGGAGUUUACAAAUGGAUAACUCAUUUUAAGAAGGAAUGAGAGAAGAAGAUGAAGCCUGCAAAAGCACACCAUUCACAUCAAUUUGUGAGGAAAAAUAUCAUCUCGUUUGUGCUCUAAUUGAAGAGGAUCAAUGUUUAACAGAAGAAACAAUAGCUAAUUGCCUAGACAUCUCAACUGAUUCAGCUUACACAAUUCCACUCAAGGGAUGCCAAAACUUUUGUGCCCAGAUCAGCUGCAGACGAGAACAAAGCUUUCAAUUUCAAUGGAAAUUUUAAACAAGUAGGAUCAAGACCCUGAAGCAUUUCUUUGAAGAACUAUAACAGGAGAUGAAACAUGGCUUUACCAGUACAAUCCUGAAGACAAAGCACAACCAAAGCAAUGGCUACCAAAAGGUGGAAGUGGUUCAGUCAAAGCAAAAACAGACUGGUCAAGAGCAAAGGUCAUGGCAACAGUUUUUUGGGAAGUUCAAGGCAUUCUGCUGGUUGACUUUCUGGAGAAACCAAGGAAAAUACUGCUUAUUAUAAGAGGGUUUUGAGACAGUUAACCAAAGCUUUUGCAGGAAAGCUUCACCAGAGAGUCCUUUCUACUGCAACAAUGCUCCUGCUCAUUCCUCUCAUCAAACAAGGGUAAAUUUGAAAGUUUCAGUGGGAAAUCAUUAGGCAUUCAUGGUUUUUUGUUUUGUGUUGUUUUGAAAUGGAGUUUUGCUCUUGUCACUCAGGCUGGAGUGCAAUGGCACAAUCUCGGCGCACUGCAACCUCUGCCUCCCGGGUUCAAGGGAUUCUCUUGCCUCAGCCUCCUGAGUAGUUGGGAUUACAAGUGCAUGACAGUAUGCCUGGCUAAUUUUUGUAUUUUUGGUAGAGAUAGGGUUUCACCAUGUUGGCCAGGUUCGUCUCAACCUCCUGACCUCAGGUGAUUUGCCCGCCUUGGCCUCCCAAAGUGCUGGGAUUACAGGUGUGAGCCACCACACCCAGCCAGGCAUUCACCUUAUAGUCCUGAUUUGGCUCCUUUUGACUUCCUUUUCUUUUGUAAUCUUAAAAAACUCUUUACAGGGCACUCAUUUUUCUUAAGUUAAUAAUGUAAAAAAGAUGGCAUUGACAUGGUUAAAUUCCCAGGACCCUCCUUAGAGAUGGACAAAAUGGCUGGUAUCAUUGCUUACAAAAGUGUCUUGAACUUGAUAGAGCUUUGUUGAGAAAUAGAGUUCAUAUUUUUAAAUUUAUAUUUUAAUUCCAUUUUUAAUUCCCUUUUUAUAUACAUUCAAUUUUUCUAUAAUUCAAUUUUUCUCUAAACCUUUUGUAGUCCCUUCAUAUUUAUUACCUUGCUUUGUAUGUCUGUAACUUAGAAAAACUGCACCAAUUCAAUUUAUUUGUGGCAUAUCUAUAACCUCCAAAAUAGUAUAGUUUGAGCAGCAUGACUAUAAAUAUUUAAAAUAUAUGUAUAUAAUAAAUGUGCUAUCACAUUACAAUUUUUUCUUACUUUACAAGUAGCACUAUAUUCACCGUCCAUACAAGUUUUACUCUUUGAAGAAUACAUCUAUCUUGUCAUUAUCAUUAGAAAUUAGGAAAUACUUUUGGUUCCUAGAUUCCACAGAAACAUAUGAGAUCCAAUUACUACAGUUAAAUAAAAGCACUUAUGCUGACCUUGAUAUAAUUAAAUCAAUACCUAGAUGCUGAAAACAAAAAAGUCUAGGGAGUUGAAAGGCCAGCUCUCCAAUUAAUUAAAGCAAAACUGUUAUCAUGUAAGAAGUGAUAUUAUCUAAAGUGAAAAACAAAACAGAAGACCAGAAACCUGAGAAUCAUCCUCUACUCCUUUUUCUCUCUCAUCCCCAACAUCUAAUUGGCCAUAAAGCUUUUCAAUUAUAUCUUAUUAAUAUCUCUUGAAUCUGCUGCCAUUUCAUCUACACAACCACAACUACUGCCUUCAGAGUUUCCCUUGUGAACCAAUGCAACAGCCUCCUCUUAAAUUUCUUUCCUUGGGCUUAUUCUCACCAUGUAAUGCAUACUUCACUUUCCAAAAUAAAAAGUCCUCUUUAAAAUUCAAAACUUUUGUUACUCUAAAAAUCCAAGUCCUUCAAUGAGGCUACUCUUUCUCCAAGAAAAAAGCCUAUGCCACAUUUUAAAUCUAUACCAUUUGACUACUCCAGCUAUGUGGGUUUAUCUCAUCAGCUAUAAAGGGUAGCAUUUAUUAAGGGUUUACUAUAUAACUGGCACUGCAAUAAGCACUUUAUUUAUUUAAUUAUAAAGCAAUCUUUCAAAUUAGAACUAUGUAUUAUGGGUGAGAUAACUUGGUUUUUAGGGAACCUCAAAAAUUUUCUGAGUGUCACAUGGCCAUCAAAUGGCAGCGUCAAGAUAGAAACCUGAGUCUGACUCCAGAGUAAAUGCUCUUAUAUCUAUCUGCAUUCCAGGAGGUCCCUUCAAAUGCCAAGCCAUUCUCAUAUCUAUCUUUAAAUUCUUAUUUGCCAGAAGGAAUUCUUUUGACUUUUGAUGAGGUUUUCCCUGACUCUACCACCAGUAACCCCUAAUACAAAUGAUCUCCACCUUCUCUGUUCAUCACCUAAAUUAUACAAGAUAUUUUCAUACUUUGGCCAUUGUGAGAGUCACUUUGGGACCUUGGUAAAAAUGCAAAUACUUGAGUGAAUCUCAGAUAAACUGACUUGACAUUCUGGGUUGGUAGCCUUGUCAUCUGGAGUUUCUAAAAGACUUCAAGAUGAUUGCAAUGCACAAUUAUCUGAGAAGUACUAACUUACAUAAACAUAUUAAUAGUGCUUACACCAUUUUGCAAUUGCUCUACUUGUUUACAUGUCCUUACUCUUAAUUAGUCUAAAAAUAUUUUAAGGCUAGAUGUUACACAAAUUUGCAGCACCUACACCUAGAAAAU